rnacentral:rRNA from 1 species
UCCUACGGGAGGCAGCAGUAGGGAAUCUUCCGCAAUGGACGAAAGUCUGACGGAGCAACGCCGCGUGAGUGAAGAAGGUUUUCGGAUCGUAAAACUCUGUUGUUAGAGAAGAACGUUGUGUAGAGUGGAAAAUUACACAAGUGACGGUAUCUAACCAGAAAGGGACGGCUAACUACGUGCCAGCAGCCGCGGUAAUACGUAGGUCCCGAGCGUUGUCCGGAUUUAUUGGGCGUAAAGCGAGCGCAGGUGGUUUAAUAAGUCUGAUGUAAAAGGCAGUGGCUCAACCAUUGUGUGCAUUGGAAACUGUUAGACUUGAGUGCAGUAGAGGAGAGUGGAAUUCCAUGUGUAGCGGUGAAAUGCGUAGAUAUAUGGAGGAACACCGGUGGCGAAAGCGGCUCUCUGGACUGUAACUGACACUGAGGCUCGAAAGCGUGGGUAGCAAACAGGAUUAGAUACCCUGGUAGUCCACGCCGUAAACGAUGAGUGCUAGUUGUUUGGGGCUAUCCAGCCCUAAGUGACGCAGCAAACGCAUUAAGCACUCCGCCUGGGGAGUACGACCGCAAGGUUGAAACUCAAAGGAAUUGACGGA